rnacentral:rRNA from 1 species
CUACGGAGCGCAGCAGUGAGGAAUAUUGCACAAUGGGGGGAACCCUGAUGCAGCAACGCCGCGUGGAGGAUGACGCAUUUCGGUGUGUAAACUCCUUUUAUAUGUCAAGAAAAUGACGGUAGCAUAUGAAUAAGCACCGGCUAACUCCGUGCCAGCAGCCGCGGUAAUACGGAGGGUGCAAGCGUUACUCGGAAUCACUGGGCGUAAAGGACGCGUAGGCGGGUUGGAAAGUCAGGUGUGAAAUCCUACAGCUUAACUGUAGAACUGCACUUGAAACUUCUAAUCUAGAGUAUGGGAGGGGGAGAUGGAAUUAGUGGUGUAGGGGUAAAAUCCGUAGAUAUCACUAGGAAUACCUAAAGCGAAGGCGAUCUCCUGGAACAUUACUGACGCUAAGGCGUGAAAGCGUGGGGAGCAAACAGGAUUAGAUACCCCAGUAGUC